UACAGAGGUCUCAAGCGUUGUUCGGAUUCAUUGGGCGUAAAGGGUGCGUAGGUGGCGCCGUAAGUCGGGUGUGAAAUCCCACGGCUCAACCGUGGAAGUGCACUCGAAACUGCAGGGCUAGAGUCCUGGAGAGGAAGGUGGAAUGCUUGGUGUAGAGGUGAAAUUCGUAGAUAUCAAGCGGAACACCGGUGGCGAAGGCGGCCUUCUGGACAGUGACUGACGCUGAGACGGCGAAAAGCGUGGGGAGCAAACA
rnacentral:rRNA from 1 species